GGGACGUAAGGUUCUGCCUCCUCGUACGUAUCUUCGUCAUCAUCGUCACCUCCUAGACCUCCUGGAGGGUGGGGCGGCACCUUGGGGCCCUGCAGCUAAAACAUGAACAUCAGUUAGCUCAGUGGUGGAAACCAGUGUGACCAGUAAGGCUGAUGCUCACCCCGUUCCUCAGCCAUGCAGACAGGUCCUGAUUUGAGACCAGCUCAGAGGCCCGGACAGCUGCGGAUACAACAACAACAACACAGAGCUUUCAUGAAGUCUUCAGGAUUCGCAGGUGUGUCUGUCAGCUCGUUGCUAGGAGACGAUGAUGGACAGCUCAUGAUCAUGUACUCGGCAUCUUCCACUGAAAACACAGCAGGAAACACUUUUAUUCGGGUGUCUGUGGGUUUGGCAGUACUCUGAGUAUCAGCAGUAAUGUGAGUACUGGUGUGUUUUUACCUGGAGCGUCCUGAUUCUGCAGCGUGGACAGCAGCUCUGAGAUGGAUUUCUUCUGAGCCUGAGCGAUGUAACUCAGGUUCUCUGAGUCCAGAACAGACAGGAAGGACUGCAGAUCCCAGAUCAGCUUGGCCAGCACUGGAUACAGACAGACAGACAGUCGGACGGACGAUCGUCUGGAUGUCUGUUUGAGCUCAUUAACCAGGAGGAAAAUGAGUUUACAGACUUUAUCUCGACCUCACAGCGAGUCACAGUUGAACUGACUGCUGGGCCAUGAGUCAUGUUUGUUCUCACACUCUCAGUAUCUGAUGUCGCUGUUUACACGCCAACAGACACUCUGUCUGUCUGUCCACAGACUCUAAUGUUUAAGCUUUGCAGCAGAAACAAACAUGUUUACAGCCUGACACACAAACUGUUUGGUCUCUGUGGGUCCUUUUCCUCCUUCAUAACAACUAUGGGACGGACGGGAUGGUCAUAGUUUGCAUUAUUAGGGGGCGUGGUCUCUUUGACUGACAGGUGGAUGGUGACACAGCUUCACCUGAACUGGACCCCUGGACUCCAGCUUACCACUCCACACUCUCAUCCAAAAUAUGGACACUGAUAUCUCAGUCUUGCAUUUUCUUUCUUCAUUUUGGUCCAGCCAUGGGGGGUCAGGGGGGUACCGGGGUGGAUGGGAGGGCUGCCUCCUGUGCUCGUGCUCAACAGGGUGUCGGUGGAAAUGAUGCUGCGGUUUAUUGAAGGCCGAGGAGGAGGGUGGGGGGAAGGCAUGUUAGGAGGAAGUGAGAGAAAAGGAAAGACAGGAGUGUGGAGGUGACGCUGGGGCCGGAGGAAAAGAGGAGGAUCACAGAUGUAGUGACGGAGGACAUCCACAGGGUUGGUGUGCCAGUGGAGGAUGCUGAGAUGGGGGAGAUGAAUAAUAAUAAGAAUGUUCUUCCUUCGUUUCCGAGUGGAGUGAUUGAUUUUGGCCGUCUUCUCCUUCAAAUCGACCCCAACACUCAUUUAUGUCUCUCAGAAAGAGACUGAAUAUGGACGGUGUGGGUUCAACCACACUAUCGGCUGCUUGGUUGGAGCUGAUACAGCAGCUGAACCAGCCCAGGAAAAACGAGGUCUUACUUUAGUUUUGAUAAAAAUAAGUGGAUACAGCAAAGUGAGCGUCUGACCAACAGCUGCAAUUUACAUGAAUCCAGAUGUGAUUCAUGAUUCUGAAAUGUAAAAAUAUCUGAGGACUGAAGGGGUGUAAAUAGUUUCCUGGAUGUUAAAAACUGCAUAUUUGCAUCAUUUAUUUGAAAUUUUGGGAUUCACUAUGAGGACAGUGUGUGUUUGGGCAGAUUGUUACUGUGGCAGGUGGGUUUGCUCCCACAGUCUGAGUGUAAGCUGGCCGAGAUGAGAUCCAUUUUUGUUUUUGUUUCUCUGCUCUGAGUUUCCAUAAUGAGUUUUCUCUCAUGUGAUAAGAAAAAAGAAACAACGAACUUUUCGAGUUCCUGUGCACAGCAGGGAUUCAGGUGAUGUAACUGUGUUUACUCUGAGUUAAACAUUGGCAGGAGCCAGGAGCUUAUCAGUUUGCAUCCUGUCAUCAAUUAACACGUGAAGGCCAGAACAUCUGCAUAUUUGUGCAGGAAACGUUUACCUGAACAGGUGCGGUCAGACUGUUGUUCUGUAUGAAACUGACUUUUACAUGUGAAUCACAUUUUCUUACGAUCAUCUGAGGAUGCAGAUGAGGAGCCGCGGCUGAUGUGUGUUUCUGUCUGAGAGUGAAGAAUCAGCAUCUUGUUUUUCUGCCUUUGAAUGAUUUCAGCUCUUAUCUUCUGAAGUGAAACAGAGUGAGUAUUCAUUCACACAUAACAACGGCUUCAUUCAUAACACGAACACAGACGGACUUCAUCACAGUUUUCAUGUUUAAUCAACCUGCUCGUAGCAAACUGACCAUCCCCCGUCAGCUUUACUUAUUACAGAACAAAAACAUUUAGUGAAGGUAAGAGCAGCCUGUCAGGGCCUUUGUUAGUUUAACAUGAAUCAUUAAGGAUGUCCAACAGUCCACAGUUAUAUUCGUUUUAAAAAAACAAAACAAAAAUGUACAAAAGGCUCUGAAAACUGUUUUUUUAACCUCUCAACACCAUAAGCACUCCCAGGAACCCAGAGACUGGUAUGACCUCCUAAAGGACCACACCUAGAACCUGCCUAAUGUCCAUAUAAACUACAUAAAUCAUCACUAUAAUCAUCAUAAGGACAUCUAGAACAUGGCCAGUAGAACUUCUAAAU